rnacentral:rRNA from 1 species
CCUACGGGUGGCUGCAGUGAGGAAUAUUGGUCAAUGGCCGGAAGGCUGAACCAGCCAAGUCGCGUGAAGGACGACUGCCCUAUGGGUUGUAAACCUCUUUUAUGCGGGGAGAAUAAAUGCUACGUGUAGCAUGAUGCCUGUACCUUAUGAAUAAGCAUCGGCUAACUCCGUGCCAGCAGCCGCGGUAAUACGGGGGAUGCAGGCGUUAUCCGGAUUUAUUGGGUUUAAAGGGUGCGUAGGCUGUGAGGUAAGUCAUCGGUGAAAUGCCCCCGCUCAACGGGGUGCAGUGCCACUGAUACUGGCUUGCUGGAAUGCGGAUGCCGUGUGAGGAAUGUGUGGUGUAGCGGUGAAAUGCAUAGAUAUCACACAGAACACCGAUUGCGAAGGCAGCUCACGAAUCCGCGAUUGACGCUGAUGCACGAAAGCGUGGGUAUCAAACAGGAUUAGAUACCCCAGUAGUC